rnacentral:rRNA from 1 species
UACGGAGGGGGCAAGCGUUAUUCGGAAUUAUUGGGCGUAAAGAGCGCGCAGGCGGUCGUUCAAGUCGAGUGUGAAAGCCCCCGGCUCAACUGGGGAGGGUCACUCGAUACUGAUCGACUCGAAGGCAGGAGAGGGAAGUGGAAUUCCCGGUGUAGUGGUGAAAUGCGUAGAUAUCGGGAGGAACACCAGUGGCGAAGGCGACUUCCUGGCCUGUUCUUGACGCUGAGGCGCGAAAGCUAGGGGAGCAAACGGG